CGGGAAGUGGCUCAGUUUGGCUUAGAGCGCGACGUUCGGGACGUCGAGGUCGGCGGUUCAAGUCCGCCCUUCCCGACCA
rnacentral:tRNA from 1 species